rnacentral:rRNA from 1 species
UUGCACAAUGGGCGAAAGCCUGAUGCAGCAACGCCGCGUGAGUGAUGAAGGCUUUCGGGUUGUAAAGCUCUGUCUUCUGGGACGAUAAUGACGGUACCUGAGGAGGAAGCCACGGCUAACUACGUGCCAGCAGCCGCGGUAAUACGUAGGUGGCAAGCGUUGUCCGGAUUUACUGGGCGUAAAGGAUGCGUAGGCGGAUACUUAAGUCAGAUGUGAAAAUCCCGGGCUUAAAUUGGGAACUGCAUUUGAAACUGGGUAUCUAGAGUGCGGAAGAGGAAAGUGGAAUUCCUAGUGUAGCGGUGAAAUGCGUAGAGAUUAGGAAGAACACCAGUGGCGAAGGCGACUUUCUGAACCGUAACUGACGCUGAGGCAUGAAAGCGUGGGGAGCAAACA